rnacentral:rRNA from 1 species
UACGUAGGGGGCGAGCGUUGUCCGGAAUCAUUGGGCGUAAAGGGCGCGUAGGCGGAUAAUUAAGUCUGGUGUGAAAACUUGGGGCUCAACCCCAAGCCUGCAUCGGAAACUGGAUAUCUUGAGGACAGGAGAGGAAAGUGGAAUUCCACGUGUAGCGGUGAAAUGCGUAGAGAUGUGGAGGAACACCAGUGGCGAAGGCGACUUUCUGGACUGUAACUGACGCUGAGGCGCGAAAGCGUGGGGAGCAAACAGGAUUAGAUACCCUGGUAGUCCACGCCGUAAACGAUGAGUGCUAGGUGUAGAGGGUAUCGACCCCCUCUGUGCCGCAGUUAACACAAUAAGCACUCCGCCUGGGGAGUACGGCCGCAAGGUUGAA